rnacentral:rRNA from 1 species
GACGAACGCUGGCGGCGUGCCUAAUACAUGCAAGUCGAACGCAGUGGGGACGGGUGAGUAACACGUGGGUAACCUGCCAUCAGAGGGGAUAACACUUGGAAACAGGUGCUAAACCGAUACUGAUGGAUGGACCCGCGGGGAAUUAGCUAGUUGGUGAGGUAACGGCUCACCACGGCCACGAUGCAUAGCCGACCUGAGAGGGUGAUCAGCCACACUGGGACUGAGACACGGCCCAGACUCCUACGGGAGGCAGCAGUAGGGAAUCUUCGGCAAUGGACGAAAGUCUGACGGAGCAACGCCGCGUGAGUGAAGAAGGUUUUCGGAUCGUAAAGCUCUGUUGUUAGAGAAGCGUUAUCUAACCAGAAAGCCACGGCUAACUACGUGCCAGCAGCCGCGGUAAUAC